AUUGAACGCUGGCGGCAGGCCUAACACAUGCAAGUCGAACGAGUGGCGGACGGGUGAGUAAUGUCUGGGAAACUGCCCGAUGGAGGGGGAUAAAUACUGGAAACGGUAGCUAAUACCGCAUACACUCGGAUGUGCCCAGAUGGGAUGAGCUAGUAGGUGGGGUAAUGGCUCACCGAGGCGACGAUCCCUAGCUGGUCUGAGAGGAUGACCAGCCACACUGGAACUGAGACACGGUCCAGACGCCUACGGGAGGCAGCAGGGGGGAAUAUUGCACAAUGGGCGCAAGCCUGAUGCAGCCAUGCCGCGUGUAUGAAGAAGGCCUUCGGGUUGUAAAGUACUUUCAGCGGGGAGGCGUUACCCGCAGAAGAAGCACCGGCUAACUCCGUGCCAGCAGCCGCGGUAAUUC
rnacentral:rRNA from 1 species